GUGGCUGCAGCUCAGUUGGUAGAGCCCCGGAUUGUGAUUCCGGUUGUCGUGGGUUCGAACCCCAUCAGUCACCCCA
rnacentral:tRNA from 1 species